UCAUGGCCAUGAUCCUGCUCUUGUUUGCCUUGGCGACCAUUCCAAGACGGGCCUUUUCAGAUGUUCAGCUGGUAUCAUCUGGGCCAGGAACACUGAGACCUGGACAGAACCUCCAUCUGGUCUGCAAAGUGACAGGAUUCUCUAUCACUACCCAGGGUUAUGGUUGGAACUGGAUCCGUCAGGCUCCUGGGAAAGGUCUGGAAUGGGUUGCAUACAUAUACCCAAAGGAUGGGAGCAAAUACUACACCUCUUCUCUCCAAGGUCGUGUCACCGUUUCUGCAGACACCUCCAAGAACCAGUUCUCCCUCCAGCUGAACUCCCUGACAGCUGCCGACUCUGCAGUUUAUUUCUGUGCCCGAGACUCACAGUGA